UAAUGUGUGGGUCUUUAAAAAUAGCUUCUUAACUAAUGCACUUAAAGAGAUUAGGACACUUGAUAGGACUUCUUUUCAGAAGAAUUCUUGACACGGGACCCCCACCCCAUGCUUACUCCUUGUCACUACCUCCCUCCCUGCAGGUAACCACGAAACUGACUUCUGACACUAUAAGUGACUUGAAUCUCUUCCGAAUUUUAUGUGCAUGAAAUCAUAGUGUGUUCUUUUCGUGCCUGGGUACUUGCCAUGUUAUUUUAUGGUGUCAUUGAUAUAUUGAUGAUUACAUAUUAUGGUGUCAUGAUAUAUUUAUUUAGAUCAAGGCAAUGAUCAUCAAAAUCUGCUAAAAUCUUUAGGUGAUAGGUUGAUAAAGAACUUUGAAAUAGUUCCAUCAGGGUGACCCCUGCAGAACCACAGGUCUUCUUGGUAAUUAUUAAUCUUCUUCCUGUUGGGAUACAAUGAGAAGUAC
rnacentral:lncRNA from 1 species